rnacentral:rRNA from 1 species
AGUGAACGCUGGCGGUAGGCCUAACACAUGCAAGUCGAACGGCAGCACAGUAGGAGCUUGCUCUUACGGGUGGCGAGUGGCGGACGGGUGAGGAAUACAUCGGAAUCUACUUUUUCGUGGGGGAUAAUGUAGGGAAACUUACGCUAAUACCGCAUACGACCUACGGGUGAAAGCAGGGGAUCUUCGGACCUUGCGCGAUUGAAUGAGCCGAUGUCGGAUUAGCUAGUUGGCGGGGUAAAGGCCCACCAAGGCGACGAUCCGUAGCUGGUCUGAGAGGAUGAUCAGCCACACUGGAACUGAGACACGGUCCAGACUCCUACGGGAGGCAGCAGUGGGGAAUAUUGGACAAUGGGCGCAAGCCUGAUCCAGCCAUACCGCGUGGGUGAAGAAGGCCUUCGGGUUGUAAAGCCCUUUUGUUGGGAAAGAAAAGCAGCAGGUUAAUACCCCGCUGUUCUGACGGUACCCAAAGAAUAAGCACCGGCUAACUUCGUG